rnacentral:rRNA from 1 species
GACGAACCACACAAACGUUAUUCGGAAUUACUGGGCUUAAAGGGUGCGUAGGUGGCGCGCUAAGUCAGGUGUGAAAUUUCGGAGCUUAACUCCGAAACUGCAUUUGAUACUGGCGUGCUUGAGGACUGGAGAGGAGACUGGAAUUUACGGUGUAGCAGUGAAAUGCGUAGAGAUCGUAAGGAAGACCAGUGGCGAAGGCGGGUCUCUGGACAGUUCCUGACACUGAGGCACGAAGGCCAGGGGAGCAAACGGG